rnacentral:tRNA from 1 species
GGGGAUAUAGCUCAGCUGGUAGAGAACUUGCCUCCCAUGCAAAAGGCCCUGGGUUCAAUCCUCAGUACCACCA